UACGAAGGGGGCGAGCGUUGUUCGGAUUUACUGGGCGUAAAGAGCACCGAGGUGGCUUCUUAAGUUGGAUGUGAAAUCUCCUGGCUUAACCGGGAGGCGCCAUUCAAAACUGGGGAGCUUGAGGUCAGCAGGGGAAGGUGGAAUUCCCGGUGUAGUGGUGGAAUGCGUAGAGAUCGGGAGGAACACCAGUGGCGAAAGCGACCUUCUGGGCUGCACCUGACACUCUAGUGCGAAAGCGUGGGGAGCAAACAGG
rnacentral:rRNA from 1 species